rnacentral:lncRNA from 1 species
AGAACUGGUAAUGAUAUCAAGAACUACUGAAUGACUAAGCUCAUGGAAAAAAAAAAGAAAAAAAACUAAUGGGCAUGAUGAUUCAUACUUUUCACAAGAAAAUUAGCACACAGUUUGUCGUCUCUUCUUCAAGCUUAUCAUUACUGUCAACGGCACUAUCAUCAUCAUCAUCGUCGUCAUCCACACAACUAAUAAUUGAGUGUAGCAGCAGGAACAUUUACUAUACUAAGCUAUUUCAUUUUCAAGUCUUUUGAGCAGUAGCAAUGACUUGCUACUUCUACUGCAUCUUGCUACAAAAUCAACAAAGCCUCAUGGGGGUUCCUUGCAAAAUUAUCAGCUGCAAGACGUUAGCGUUAGGAGGUGAAGUUAGCUGCAGAUAUUCUGAUGGAAGUUGCAACAACUAAAUCAGCUAGCCAUGCCACAGAAUUGGAGUAUAUAUGGUCGAUAUGGCGGUGCAAGUUGUUUCUAUUAUGGACCUGAAGAGAGCCAGAAAUUACUGGUUGGUGCUACUGCUGGUGGUGGUGGUCGGUGGUGUGGAUCAGCAAAUUGGGUUAAGGGAGAUAAUCAAAUAGAUCAUAUAUGGUCUUAGAAAAGAUUAAGCAGCUAAUGAGCACUAGGAGUUGUGCCAAGUGACAACUUUUUGUUAGAAGAUAACAAGACAGAAGAGAAAAGGGUUGUAUACUAUUGAUGGAUGUUGACUGUGAGAAAAAAGAAUCACAAAGAUAGGAUAUGGCUUGAAGACUUUGAAUUUGGUAGGGAUUUGGAUUUGUUUUUUUUCCUUUUUCCCAAUUGGAAAAUACUUCUUUGACAGUACUUUAAAACUAUACAAAGAAGAAAUUCACAAUUUGAAACUUUUAAUCUGUGCACUUCUUUUUGGGAAAUCAUAUGUGUGUGUGCUACUAGUUACAGUUUAACUCCAACAUUCAGAAGUAAGUGUCAUGGAUAUCAGAGAGGCAUAUCAUCAUUUUUCAAGAACAAAUCUGUAAGGCCAGGAAUUACUGUUCUUUUCUUGGAAAUUUUCAUGUAAAUAUGCAGUCAAUUGUUUUGGGACUUCUGUAUAAUUUCUCUUUUUUUUUUUUUUCUUUUGAUUCUUGUCAAGCACAAAGUAUAAGAUCCUUGGAUAUAUUGGUAC